ACCUCGGAGGGGCGCAUUUCGUUGUGCUUUCUCUCAGAUCAACGAACAACGUGUUGUCUCAGUCUGGCCUUCUCUCAAGAGACUCUUCCACGCUCUAGAAUUUCCUCCAAGCUACUUAUUUCUGUUGCGUCAUUUUCGUGUGGUGCCAUGAUGUUUACGCAGAAGCGGCCUCCUCUGGCCCCUCGUAGUUUCAGAGAAAAGCCUCCAGAAAACAAACUACUAAUGGCUUCGUAUCUUCUUACCAGAGGAGUCGGUUCUGCGUACAGUCUUGGGGGGAGUUGUCUCCGUGUUUGGACGAGAAGAGUUUGGAGACUCCAUAAAACUAAAGAGGACCUGCGCCGCGGGGCGCGCGGGCAGGACGACUCCUGCAAGGGACGAUUUAAAGGCAAAGCGAGAAGUUUGGUGGAAAGUAAAUGGGAAAAAAAGUCACUCUAGGCGAGUGAAUCUCAUGUGUAGGUCGCCUAUGCUGUGGGAGCACUGGCCAAAGCCACAUGUGACUGUAUGUUCAAACCGAACGGUGUGCCCCCCCCCCCGGCUUGCCAGGAUUCCAUAUGAGCUCUGAACAUCCGUGUGUGUCUGCGAUCUAUGAGUUUGACCAUCUGGUCCAACGCUGAAGCUGUUCAUCAAAACUGUGUGAAAAUCAGCAUAGAAAGUCUCUCAUUUUAGGAAUUUCUUUGAGAAAAUGUAAAAAACAGCCAUCAGAUACCAGAGAGGACACAGGCAGGCCGCGCUGAUGUGCGAAAGCUUCUCUGCGGCUCUUUGGUCAGAAUCUGCAGAGAACGCAGCAGAUUGUUGCCAGCAGCUUCACCAGACAGGUUUACGAGGAUGUAUCUGCUGAAGAUGAUGGAGAAGAGGGAGCACAGAAACGCUAAGCUGACCAAGUCGGUUCCAGCAGGACCCCCGUGCUGCAAACGGACCUGUUGGUGGAGCACAGGUCCACGGCUGGAACCAAGGAAGUCACCCUAGAGGACAUCCGGCAUCCACGUCCAGAUCCACGUCCAGUCGUGUUCAUGGACCCGAUUGGAUGACCUUUAAAGGAAGCAACCUGCAGGCUUCUAGAAACUCUUAUUUCACAGAAAAUGUCAUCUUGGAUGCUAAACUCUCAUAGUUCAGAGUCUCUCUUACAGCUGGUUUGUAGAUUACGAGAAAGAAAAGUUACAGAAGUACAUGCUGUAACAUGCUGACCUUUGACACCAAAAUAAAACAUUUCAUCUUUAA